GGAGCCGUAGCGAAAGCGAGUUUUAACUGAGCGUUCAGUUACUUGACGUAGACCCGAAACCGGGCGACCUACCCAUGAGCAGGAUGAAGCGAAAGUAAAAUUUCGUGGAGGUCCGAACCCACGAGCGUUGAAAAGCUCGGGGAUGACUUGUGGGUAGCGGUGAAAUUCCAAUCGAGCCCGGAGAUAGCUGGUUCUCCCCGAAAUAGCUUUAGGGCUAGCCUCAAGGUGAGAGAUACGGAGGUAGAGCACUGAAUGUCCUAGGGGGUAUUGCACCUACCGAAGACUAUCAAACUCCGAAUGCCGUCAUCUUAUACUUGGGAGUCAGACUGUGGGUGAUAAGAUUCAUAGUCGAAAGGGCAACAGCCCAGAUCGUCAGCUAAGGUCCCUAAAUGUAAGUUAAGUGGUAAAGGAUGUGGGAUUGCACAGACAACCAGGAUGUUGGCUUAGAAGCAGCCACUCAUUCAAAGAGUGCGUAAUAGCUCACUGGUCGAGUGAUCCUGCGCCGAAGAUUUCCGGGGCUAAAACUUACUACCGAAGCUACGGCAUCAGUAAUGAUGGGUAGGGGAGCUUCCCAUACGGGUUGAAGCAUGACCGUAAGGACAUGUGGACAGUAUGGGAGUGAGAAUGUUGGCAUGAGUAGCGAGAUGUGGGUGAGAAUCCCACAGGCCGUAAACCCAAGGUUUCCAGGGGAAGGUUCGUCCGCCCUGGGUUAGUCGGGACCUAAGCUGAGGCCGAAAGGCGUAGGUGAUGGACAACAGGUUGAUAUUCCUGUACUACCGAUAACCGUUUGAGAGAAGGGAUGACACAGUAGGAUAAGCUAAGCACACUGUUGGUUAUGUGUGCCCAAGCAUUGAGGCAGUCAAAGUAGGCAAAUCCGCUUUGAUAAUGCUGGGAUGUGAUGGGGAGCGAAAUUUAGUAGCGAAGUAGCUGAUUUCACACUGUCAAGAAAAGUCUCUAUCGAGGUUAAAGGUACCCGUACCGCAAACCGACACAGGUGGGUGAGGAGAGUAUCCUAAGGCCAGCGAGAGAACUGUUGUUAAGGAACUCGGCAAAAUGACCCCGUAACUUAGGGAUAAGGGGUGCCACCAUCAGGUGGCCGCAGAGAAUAGGCCCAAGCGACUGUUUACCAAAAACAUAGGUUUCUGCUAAGUCGCAAGACGAUGUAUAGGAGCUGACGCCUGCCCGGUGCUGGAAGGUUAAGGGGAUCUGUUAGAGCAAUCGAAGCAGUGAACUUAAGCCCCAGUAAACGGCGGCCGUAACUAUAACGGUCCUAAGGUAGCGAAAUUCCUUGUCGGGUAAGUUCCGACCCGCACGAAAGGCGUAACGAUUUGGGCACUGUCUCAACAACAGACUCGGUGAAAUUGUAAUUCCGGUGAAGAUGCCGGAUACCUGCGACAGGACGGAAAGACCCCAUGGAGCUUUACUGUAGCUUGACAUUGGGUCUUGGUACUACAUGUACAGGAUAGGUGGGAGGCUUUGAAACCAGGACGCCAGUUUUGGCGGAGCCAUCCUUGGGAUACCACCCUUGUAGUACUGGGACUCUAACCAUAGGCCAUGAAUCUGGUCUUGGGACACUGUCAGGUGGGCAGUUUGACUGGGGCGGUCGCCUCCCAAAAGGUAACGGAGGCGCUCAAAGGUUCUCUCAGUACGGUCGGAAAUCGUACGUAGAGUGUAAAGGCAAAAGAGAGCUUGAUUGCAAGACAUACAGGUCGAGCAAGGAUGAAAAUCGGACUUAGUGAUCCGGUGGUUCUGCGUGGAAGGGCCAUCGCUCAACGGAUAAAAGCUACCCUGGGGAUAACAGGCUUAUCUCCCCCAAGAGUCCACAUCGACGGGGAGGUUUGGCACCUCGAUGUCGGCUCAUCACAUCCUGGGGCUGUAGUAGGUCCCAAGGGUUGGGCUGUUCGCCCAUUAAAGUGGUACGCGAGCUGGGUUCAGAACGUCGUGAGACAGUUCGGUCCCUAUCCGUCGCAGGCGUAGGAAAUUUGAGAAGACCUGUCCUUAGUACGAGAGGACCGGGAUGGAC
rnacentral:rRNA from 1 species